CCUACGGGAGGCUGCAGUGAGGAAUAUUGGUCAAUGGGCGAGAGCCUGAACCAGCCAAGUCGCGUGAAGGAUGAAGGCUCUAUGGUUUGUAAACUUCUUUUAUAUGGGAAUAAAGUGUUGCACGUGUUCCUUUUUGUAUGUACCAUAUGAAUAAGCAUCGGCUAACUCCGUGCCAGCAGCCGCGGUAAUACGGAGGAUGCGAGCGUUAUCCGGAUUUAUUGGGUUUAAAGGGUGCGUAGGUGGUUAAUUAAGUCAGCGGUGAAAGUUUGUGGCUCAACCAUAAAAUUGCCGUUGAAACUGGUAGACUUGAGUAUAUUUGAGGUGGGCGGAAUUCGUGGUGUAGCGGUGAAAUGCUUAGAUAUCACGAAGAACUCCGAUUGCGAAGGCAGCUUACUAAACUGCAACUGACAUUGAGGCUCGAAAGUGUGGGUAUCAAACAGGAUUAGAUACCCCAGUAGUC
rnacentral:rRNA from 1 species